GGUAAUACCGGCAGCCCAAGUGAUGACCGCUAUUAUUGGGCCUAAAGCGUCCGUAGCUGGCCAGGCAAGUCCGUCGGGAAAUCCGCGCGCUUAACGCGCGGGCGUCCGGUGGAAACUGCGUGGCUUGGGACCGGAAGACCUGAGGGGUACGUCUGGGGUAGGAGUGAAAUCCCGUAAUCCUGGACGGACCACCGGUGGCGAAAGCGCCUCAGGAAGACGGAUCCGACGGUGAGGGACGAAAGCUCGGGUCACGAACCGGAUUAGAUACCCGGGUAGUCCGAGCUGUAAACGAUGUCUGCUAGGUGUGCCACAGGCUACGAGCCUGUGGUGUGCCGUAGGGAAGCCGUGAAGCAGACCGCCUGGAA
rnacentral:rRNA from 1 species